rnacentral:misc_RNA from 1 species
GAUGAAGAACGCAGCGAAAUGCGAUAAGUAGUGUGAAUUGCAGAAUCCAGUGAAUCAUCGAAUCUUUGAACGCACAUUGCGCCUUCUAGUAUUCUGGGAGGCAUGCCUGUUUGAGCGUCAUUAAACCUCUCUCAAGUAUGAUUACUUGGAUGUGAAGGAAGAGUACCUUAAACUUAAGGAGUGUUCUCCUUUGAAAUUGAUUAGCAGAUGGUAAUGUUAUUAAAUCCCUGAUGUUGUAAGAAAUAACAGUGGUUUUGUAGACUAUUAUCUAGCUUUAAAUUAUAAUUUUUAUUAUGGUUGACCUCAAAUCAGGUAAGGAUACCCGCUGAACUUAAGCAUAUCAAUAAGCGGAGGA